AUAAUAUGAUGGGGACAUUUUCUCAAUAACUCCUUAAAACGCUCCCAUGCAUCAUACAAAGACUCCCCCUCCAUCUAAUAAAAAUUAUUAAUCUCUCCUAUCAACUU